AGCGUAAUAGCUCACUGGUCGAGUCGGCCUGCGCGGAAGAUGUAACGGGGCUAAACCAUGCACCGAAGCUGCGGCAGCGACACUGUGUGUUGUUGGGUAGGGGAGCGUUCUGUAAGCCUGUGAAGGUGUGUCGUGAGGCAUGCUGGAGGUAUCAGAAGUGCGAAUGCUGACAUAAGUAACGAUAAAGCGGGUGAAAAGCCCGCUCGCCGGAAGACCAAGGGUUCCUGUCCAACGUUAAUCGGGGCAGGGUGAGUCGACCCCUAAGGCGAGGCCGAAAGGCGUAGUCGAUGGGAAACGGGUUAAUAUUCCCGUACUUGGUGUUACUGCGAAGGGGGGACGGAGAAGGCUAUGUUGGCCGGGCGACGGUUGUCCCGGUUUAAGCGUGUAGGUGUGUGUUCCAGGUAAAUCCGGUUCACUUUAACACUGAGGCGUGACGACGAGGCACUACGGUGCUGAAGCAACAAAUGCCCUGCUUCCAGGAAAAGCCUCUAAGCAUCAGGUAACAUCAAAUCGUACCCCAAACCGACACAGGUGGUCAGGUAGAGAAUACCAAGGCGCUUGAGAGAACUCGGGUGAAGGAACUAGGCAAAAUGGUGCCGUAACUUCGGGAGAAGGCACGCUGACACGUAGGUGAAGUGAUUUACUCAUGGAGCUGAAGUCAGUCGAAGAUACCAGCUGGCUGCAACUGUUUAUUAAAAACACAGCACUGUGCAAACACGAAAGUGGACGUAUACGGUGUGACGCCUGCCCGGUGCCGGAAGGUUAAUUGAUGGGGUCAGCGCAAGCGAAGCUCCUGAUCGAAGCCCCGGUAAACGGCGGCCGUAACUAUAACGGUCCUAAGGUAGCGAAAUUCCUUGUCGGGUAAGUUCCGACCUGCACGAAUGGCGUAAUGAUGGCCAGGCUGUCUCCACCCGAGACUCAGUGAAAUUGAACUCGCUGUGAAGAUGCAGUGUACCCGCGGCAAGACGGAAAGACCCCGUGAACCUUUACUAUAGCUUGACACUGAACAUUGAGCCUUGAUGUGUAGGAUAGGUGGGAGGCUUUGAAGUGUGGACGCCAGUCUGCAUGGAGCCGACCUUGAAAUACCACCCUUUAAUGUUUGAUGUUCUAACGUGGACCCGUUACCCGGGUUGCGGACAGUGUCUGGUGGGUAGUUUGACUGGGGCGGUCUCCUCCUAAAGAGUAACGGAGGAGCACGAAGGUUGGCUAAUCCUGGUCGGACAUCAGGAGGUUAGUGCAAUGGCAUAAGCCAGCUUGACUGCGAGCGUGACGGCGCGAGCAGGUGCGAAAGCAGGUCAUAGUGAUCCGGUGGUUCUGAAUGGAAGGGCCAUCGCUCAACGGAUAAAAGGUACUCCGGGGAUAACAGGCUGAUACCGCCCAAGAGUUCAUAUCGACGGCGGUGUUUGGCACCUCGAUGUCGGCUCAUCACAUCCUGGGGCUGAAGUAGGUCCCAAGGGUAUGGCUGUUCGCCAUUUAAAGUGGUACGCGAGCUGGGUUUAGAACGUCGUGAGACAGUUCGGUCCCUAUCUGCCGUGGGCGCUGGAGAACUGAGGGGGGCUGCUCCUAGUACGAGAGGACCGGAGUGGACGCAUCACUGGUGUUCGGGUUGUCAUGCCAAUGGCACUGCCCGGUAGCUAAAUGCGGAAGAGAUAAGUGCUGAAAGCAUCUAAGCACGAAACUUGCCCCGA
rnacentral:rRNA from 2 species